rnacentral:misc_RNA from 1 species
AAUUCUCAACCCCUCUCGAUUUGCUUCGAGGGGGAGCUUGGAUAGUGGGGGCUGCCGGAGUCCAGCAGGACUCGGGCUCUCCUGAAAUGCAUCGGCUUGCGAUCGACUUUCGACUUUGCGCGACAAGGCUUUCGGCGUGAUAAUGAUCGCCGUCUUCCGAAGCGCACGACAGAAUGGUCUCGUGCCUCCAACGCGUCGACGGCAACGUCUUCCUUCUUUAU